GGGCCCCCGCGGGCGGCUCGGCCGGCUGCGAGGGGGCGGGCGGCGCCGGGCGCCCGAGGAGGAGCCCGAGCAUCCCGGCGCCGGGGCCAGCCGGAGAGCGGGCGGCGAGGCUCCAUGGGCUGCUCACGGCAGCAUGGUGCUCGCCCUCAACGGCAGCCACCUCUCCGGUAACCCGCUGCGGCCGCUGGCGCUGGAGGAGCCGCGGGCGCUGGGCGGCGGCAGGAUGAUCGCCGGCUCCUGGCCCCCGCGCAGCCUGGCCAAGCUCGGCCCGUCGCCCCCCCCGUCGGCGCUGCCCACGGCGAGCCCCCUCCCCGCCAACGACUCCCAGUGCGGGGAGCAGAUCCUCAGCUACGGCAGCGCCGAGAAAGUUCUCAUCGGGGCCGUGCUCUGCCUCAUCACCCUGCUGACCAUCGCCGGCAACUGCCUGGUGGUGAUCUCCGUGUGCUUCGUGAAGAAGCUGCGGCAGCCCUCCAACUAUCUCAUCGUCUCGCUGGCCCUGGCCGAUCUCUCGGUGGCCCUGGCCGUCAUGCCCUUCGUCAGCGUCACCGACCUUAUCGGCGGGGAGUGGAUCUUCGGGCGCCUCUUCUGCAACGUCUUCAUCGCCAUGGAUGUCAUGUGCUGCACGGCCUCCAUCAUGACCCUCUGUGUGAUAAGUAUCGACAGGUACCUGGGAAUCACAAGGCCCCUCACAUACCCUGUAAGGCAGAAUGGGAAGUGCAUGGCCAAGAUGAUCCUGUGUGUCUGGCUGUUGUCUGCCUCUAUCACCAUUCCCCCGCUCUUCGGCUGGGCCCAGAACGUCAAUGAUGAAAAGGUUUGCCUCAUCAGUCAAGACUUUGGCUACACCAUUUACUCCACAGCAGUUGCAUUUUACAUCCCAAUGUCAGUGAUGCUUUUCAUGUACUAUCAGAUCUAUAAAGCUGCCAGGAGGAGUGCUGCUAAACACAAGUUUUCUGGUUUUCCCCGUCUGGAAGAAAUGGAAGGGAUUUCUGUGAAUGGACUUGUAAAACUGCACAAGGAAUCUGAAGAAUGUACUAAUUUUUCACGACUCCUAAAGCACGACAAGAAAAACAUUUCCAUCUUUAAAAGAGAACAGAAAGCUGCCACCACCCUUGGGAUUAUUGUUGGGGCUUUCACAAUCUGCUGGCUGCCCUUUUUCCUCCUCUCAACUGCAAGGCCCUUCAUCUGUGGUACAGCGUGCAGCUGCAUCCCCCUCUGGGUGGAGAGAACAUUUCUGUGGCUGGGCUAUGCAAACUCCCUCAUUAACCCUUUUAUCUAUGCCUUCUUCAACCGGGACCUGAGGACAACCUAUCGCAACCUGCUGCAGUGCAGAUACAGGAACAUCAACCGCAAACUCUCGGCCGCGGGCAUGCACGAGGCUCUGAAGCUUGCAGAAAAGCCAGAAUUCGUUCUGUAAGGCUACUCAUCCUCUACUGUGAUCAUUUGCUGUUUUAUCACAUUGACUUUUCCCCCACAGGUUUGAAAGAAGUGUUGCAGGAGGAACCAGUUGAGCACUGUUAAUGCAGUCAGCAGGAAACAAGGUAGAGCCCACCUGUCCUAAUGGGCCUGGAAAAGCAAGAGCACCAUCUAGAGAAUUUGGGUCUAAGAUGAAUAUAAGAAAGGACGGAAGUGAAAUGUAGCACAGGAUGUUUGAGCUGUUAGUGAGGAAGAAGCAAAGUUGGCCUAAUCCGUUUGUUUGGCCCAAAAAAUGUUUAGUAGGUCUGAAUGUUGGAUGCACCUUGUGUCCAGGAGAUUCUUUGCUGUAAUAAAGACCUGAGAAUGGUGAAAAGUUAAUUUCCUUCCACUUCAGUAUUACAAAAAUAAAUCAUUAAAGAAGUUGAAUGAAAGAACUUGUAUUCCUUAGAAAUAUUCUUUAUGAUAAAACCCCAUAUGUUCAUUAAACAUUAAUUUACUGGAUUGCCUGGAAAUGAACUAUGUUGUGAAAUUCAAUAUUGCCUUUGCACAGCAAAUCUGGCACUGAAAGAAUAUGUCACACUUCCAAUGUGAUUAAAGAGUUUGAGUAAAGUCACAUGGACCAACACCUACUGCUGCAUACAGCCCUGCAGCACAGUCAGCUGCAGUGCUGCUGUGCAAAUCACACCAGGAGAAGUUCUGAUUUCUCCAGGGAAAAAGAGUCAUGACCAAAUGUGCUUCAGAGCAGCCAGAAAAAGUCGAGCCAGACCAGGAAGAAGAAAAAUGAAGAGUUGGCUUCUGAAGAACUGGAUGGAUUUAUAAAAUGUACUUCAUCUUCCUUUGAUGGGAGUGUGCUAAAAAUAUUCCAUGAGCUCAAUACAUUGCAUUAGAUACAUUUCUAUUGGAAGUGCUCACAUCUUGUUUGUUAUGGAAGAAAAUGCUGUUACAUACAAAUGAAAAUAGUUUUCUGCCUGAGAAAGCCAAAUAAUUCCAGCAAUAAGUUUGACAAAGGGUGGGGGGAAUGCCACUAAAACUCAAAGAUAAAGCCUUGUACAGAUUUCCACCACAUUUAAUUAUGUAGAAGAACAUUUGUAUGUUUACCAUGCUUGUGGGUCCCAGCACUGGUAUUCAUAUUCAGGGACUGUCAGUGAUACUGAAUGUAUUUUGCUCUACUAAAAAAGAGAGGUUUUCAGGCAAAUGUUGUCUCUGUGGAUGCUUUCAGAACUUGUGUUAAAGAGAUGCUGUACACCUGCAAUGGCAUUGAGAAUGACAACAAUAAAAGCCAAAUUUUUGUUAAAGAUUUCUGUUGUAUUAAGUAAAUGUCUGUUACUUGUUGCAUACAUGUGGUUGGUUCUCCCAAACUUUUGUAAAAAGCUGCUUUCAGUUAUGCAGUGACAAAAGUUAAGGGACCAAAUUAGAAUGCACAUGUAUUACACCACAGCUAAUUUACGCAUAUGAUUGCUUUAACGCAAUUUUCAUGAUCUGCCAAUUUAUAAAUUCCUGUCAUUUCAAUUCAAAUAUGUAUAAAAGGCUGGAGAGUUUCCACAGCGUUUGGCUUUUUGUCUUACUGCCUAGCUAGAGAAUUAUUUUUUUAUUUUUGAAAAUGUGUUUAAGAAGUGUUGUUUCUGCCAAUGGUUUGUUAUAAUUAAAACAGAUCCCUUUUGGCUUGACAAAAACUAAAUAGGUGAGUAUAAAUGACCAUUUUUCCCAGGGAAAAUUGAUUCAAGGCACUGUUUCUUAAAAAUGGCUUUUAAUUUUUUUUUUUGAGCUUCUCUUAUUAACUUCCCUUCAGAGUUUCUAAACUAUGCACAGUUACACAAUGCACAAUUCAGAAGCAUAUCUCAUUCCCAAAGUCUGUCUUCUUUAAAGGUACAUCUCAAUGAGCAUUUGCCUUAUUUCCAUAGCUGUGGGAUUUGUGAUAAUUUAAUCCCUUGCAGUUUAACCAAAAUGCUGCUGGUAAAUCAUCCAGCAGCUACACGUGCCAUUGGGGCUUUGAUUUCCUUUGUUUAAAUCAAUAUUAAAGUUCACCAUAACUGCCUAAAUAAGGAGUCAGACAUAUCAGAACAGGCCAAUUAAUUCCUUAUUGGCAAGGAAUCAGCAUAGGAAGCAAAUCAAAUAUAUGUUAGGCCUAUGUAAAACCUAGAACAGAGAGCCUAAUCCUUAUUCUACACCUGAUCCUGACACCCUAGGCUGAUUCCUGUGGUUCCAUGACAGCACCAGGGUGGCAGAUUUUCAUUCACUAGGUCAGCAAGGCUGAUUUCAUUAUCUUACUGAUAUAACUACUCACUGUGAGCUCUGCAGCUGAAACAAAAUGAGUCUUACAGUUAAUUUUAUUUUCCAGAGGGAAUGACACAAAAAUGCUUUUUACUUGGUUAGCCUGAAGUAUUUAACAGGAAAAGGGACAGAUAUUGGCAAAGGCCAGUAGACCAAUUCUGGCUGCAUUUUAUGAGAAUACAUUCAGAGGAACUCAGCUGAAGGCAAAACUACAUCGGCAGAUUAUAUUAUAACUGAACCUAGUGAGAAAGGGAGAUGAUAGUUUCACAAAUGUACCAAGAAAAAAGGGGGGGAGGGGUUCAUUAAAAAAACAAACCCAAGCCUUUAAAUGAAGGGCAGUGGCAUGCUCUGAAAAUCAUUUUCAAGCUUUAUGGUCUCAGUUGCAUGUCCAUUUCACAAAGGCAAUGAAACAAUUUUACUUUGAUGAAUUAGACUGUCAUUUUCCUUGUUCAUGAUGCUGUGUCAAAACCUUAACUUGAAGUGAAAUAGAAAAAUUAUACAUUAUAUAUUUAAAGGACUUUUUUAAAAGCCCCAAAUAAAAAAUAGCUACCAGUAAAAUUUUUCUGUGAAAAUUUAUGAGUUCUUUAAUGUCAUUAUUUUAAGCGUAAGGGAAAAUGUGUGCUUUAAGAGGAACUUAAUAGAGGGCAAAAGAGUCAGAAAAAGCUUUUGGCUGCUAGGGAGCUACAGUUCCAGGCAGAUGUAUCCAUACAUAUAUAUAACACACACACACACUUAUGUCCCUUGAAUUUUAGGGCAGUACUUCCUCAUGAAAAGAAAGUAGUGAAUCUAUUAUUACCUGAUAAACAUUUGUUUAUUUUACUACCUAUUACAUUCCCAGAAUCUCACAGAAAUUAUGAGGCUCUCUGUGGCAUCACAAACCUAUAACGUUGCAGUUCUACCUGUUUUAGCACAAAAAGUUUUUCGCCCAGGAUCUUUCAGACACACAAACAGCACAGAGAAUUAGGACAUUAGGAACUACUCAUUUCUGAUACUUGGCCAUAGGAAAUGAGGCUCAUUUUUUUUCCUGCUCAGGUCUGUCACCUCUCAAAGCAAUGCACAAACCCACACAGCAGCAGCAAGGAGAGAGACCCAAGGCCAAGUGCAAAUACCAGCAAAUAAUGCACACAGUAUUUUAGAGGAUUAGGAGAGAAACAGGGCUGAUCAAAAGAGGUCAGGAGAUGAGACAGCCUGGUGGGAUAAGGAGUUCAGCUUUCAGCAGUUCCUGCAGCCCCCAGCACAUGGACCUGCCUCACACUGGGGUAAUCCAGGUCCCCAGGCUUGGGCGCAGUGACAGCAGAGGGGUGAUGCCAGAAGCAAGGCUCAGAACCGCUCCUCUGGGUCUGCUGAGGGCUACAUCUCUCUAGCCUUGUCACUGAAACCUGCUCUGGGAUGUGACACUGAGCAGUUUGCGUUUUCACAGGGCUGCCCUACGGUAGUUACCAUUGCAUUUAUCUGUUACCAUUGUCAUUUAAUAAAAUAAAUGACUUUUAAAAAUUGUAUACUCCUUGAUCUUUCACUAUCCACCUGAUCUUAUCUUUUCCCCAUGUACUCUUGUGGUUAACAGACCACUGAGAUAUUUGGUAGACAAGCCUACUGUACCUUUAUUAUAUCUCUCCUGCACUUCCCUUAUCUUUUUUUCUAGAUUAAUCUUUUUUUAUUCUACCAACUUAAAGCCUUUUCCUAGCUGUCCCCCUGAUUCUACUAGUAAAAUUCUUACUAAAUUAUGUGGCUCUAUCAAGACAACAAAGUGAUUCAUUUGCUUCAGACAUGAUCACAAAAUAAAUUCAGUGAUAAAAAGAAUUUUUUUUUUAUUAUCACAAUAUACACUGAUUAAAAUGCUAUGUGGAAGCACAAAAAUAAUAUCUAUGUAUACUAUGUAAGCAGUCAGAUGAUCUCAAUUUUAAAAGAUGAAAGUGAAUUCUAUGUAUUAUUUUAGCCACCACAGACUUUUAAUAUGCAAAAUUCACCAGAGGAUUGAGAUGGAACUCCAUUUCAGGUCAUAUAUUUAACCUUGACAAGAUCUGGUAAAACAUAAAGAUGGGUAACACAAGAGACUCCUUUCCCCAAAUAGCUUACCAAGAAAUACAAACACAAUAAAAUGAAGCUCUUCAUGUUGUAAUUAGCCUGUGCUGAAAACAUUGAGUAUCUUUUGUUGUAAUAUGAGUUUUAUUUGUAAGGAAAAAAAUUGCUGUCACUUACAUUGCAAAUUAUUCAAAUUUAUACAGCAGACUAAUUUAACAGAAAAGGAAAUAGGGUUUUUCUGUAUUAGGUACCAAGUUAUAAUAUGCUUUUAAAAUGUAUAAGCCUAGAGGAAUAUUAAAAUGUUAAUUUGGAUAGUA